rnacentral:rRNA from 1 species
UACGUAGGGUGCGAGCGUUGUCCGGAAUUAUUGGGCGUAAAGAGCUCGUAGGCGGCCUGUUGCGUCGGUUUGUGAAAGCCCCGGGGCUUAACCCCGGGUCUGCAGUCGAUACGGGCAGGCUAGAGUUCGGUAGGGGAGAUCGGAAUUCCUGGUGUAGCGGUGAAAUGCGCAGAUAUCAGGAGGAACACCGGUGGCGAAGGCGGAUCUCUGGGCCGAUACUGACGCUGAGGAGCGAAAGCGUGGGGAGCGAACAGG